CACACCCCAAUACUUCUGGAAUGAAUCUGCAACUUAAGAAAACCCUCAGUUAGAGGAACCCAGAUCCUAGCAGAACACCUGGCAUAGCUCACUAAACGUUGACUCUAAUGUGAUCUUCCUGUGUUAAAACAGCGUGGGAUAAGCCAGCCUUAACCUUUUAUUACACAAGUUGCCCUGGACCCCAUCAAAGAAGGAAGGGGGAGGCUUCCACUUUCAGAAUUCAGGGUGCAGUGAGCUGUGCCCAGAUG